UACAGAGGUCUCAAGCGUUGUUCGGAUUCAUUGGGCGUAAAGGGUGCGUAGGCGGCGCGGUAAGUCGGGUGUGAAAUCUUGGAGCUUAACUCCGAAACUGCAUUCGAUACUGCCGUGCUUGAGGACUGGAGAGGAGACUGGAAUUUACGGUGUAGCGGUGAAAUGCGUAGAUAUCGUAAGGAAGACCAGUGGCGAAGGCGGGUCUCUGGACAGUUCCUGACGCCUGAAGCACGAAGGCCAGGGGAGCAAACGGG
rnacentral:rRNA from 1 species